rnacentral:tRNA from 1 species
GGGUCUAUGGCUCAGUUGGUCAGAGCGCGCGCCUGAUAAGCGUGAGGUCGGUGGUUCGAAUCCACCUAGACCCACCA